CUUCACCUGAAUGCAUGACUCUACAACCUUAGGACUUGCAGAAUUAAAGGAAUGCCGUCCUGAAGUUGUUGAGCUGUGCGUUUCUGGGC
rnacentral:pre_miRNA from 1 species